rnacentral:rRNA from 1 species
UACGUAGGUGGCAAGCGUUUGUCCGGAUUUACUGGGCGUAAAGAGCGCGCAGGCGGUCGUUCAAGUCGCGUGUGAAAGCCCCCGGCUCAACUGGGGAGGGUCACGCGAUACUGAUCGACUCGAAGGCAGGAGAGGGAAGUGGAAUUCCCGGUGUAGUGGUGAAAUGCGUAGAUAUCGGGAGGAACACCAGUGGCGAAGGCGGCUCACUGGCCCGGUACUGACGCUGAGGCGCGAAAAGCGUGGGGGAGCAAACAGG